rnacentral:rRNA from 1 species
CCUACGGGCGGCAGCAGUGGGGAAUCUUCCGCAAUGGGCGAAAGCCUGACGGAGCAACGCCGCGUGAUCGAAUGAAGGCCUUCGGGUUGUAAAGAUCUGUUGACAGGGACGAAUAAGCCAUGCGAAUAGUUUGGUGUAUGACGGUACCUGUUUAGAAAGCUCCGGCUAACUACGUGACAGCAGCCGCGGUAAUACGUAGGGAGCAAGCGUUGUCCGGAAUUACUGGGCGUAAAGGGCGCGUGGGUGGGUGGUUAAGUCAGGUGUGAAAUCUCUGGGCUCAACGUGGAUACUGCACUUGACACUGGGUAUCUUGAGGGCAGGAGAGGAAAGUGGAAUUCCUAGUGUAGCGGUGAAAUGCGUAGAUAUUAGGAGGAACACCAGUGGCGAAGGCGACUUUCUGGACUGUACCUGACGCUGAGGCGCGAAAGCGUGGGUAGCGAACGGGAUUAGAUACCCUAGUAGUC